GAGGCCCUACGGGGCGCAGCAGUCGGGAAUAUUGCGCAAUGGAGGAAACUCUGACGCAGUGACGCCGCGUAUAGGAAGAAGGUUUUCGGAUUGUAAACUAUUGUCGUGAGGGAAGAAAUUGACAGUACCUCAGGAGGAAGCUCCGGCUAACUAUGUGCCAGCAGCCGCGGUAAUACGUAGGGGGCAAGCGUUAUCCGGAUUUACUGGGUGUAAAGGGGGCGUAGGUGGCAGGGCAAGUCAGAUGUGAAAGCCCGGAGCUCAACCCCGGUACUGCAUUUGAAACUGUCCAGCUGGAGUGCAGGAGG
rnacentral:rRNA from 1 species